rnacentral:rRNA from 1 species
GACGAACGCUGGCGGCGUGCUUAACACAUGCAAGUCGAACGGAAAGGCCCUGCUUUUGUGGGGUGCCCGAGUGGCGAACGGGUGAGUAACACGUGAGUAACCUGCCCUUGACUUUGGGAUAACUUCAGGAAACUGGGGCUAAUACCGGAUAGGAGCUCCUGCUGCAUGGUGGGGGUUGGAAAGUUUCGGCGGUUGGGGAUGGACUCGCGGCUUAUCAGCUUGUUGGUGGGGUAGUGGCUUACCAAGGCUUUGACGGGUAGCCGGCCUGAGAGGGUGACCGGCCACAUUGGGACUGAGAUACGGCCCAGACUCCUACGGGAGGCAGCAGUGGGGAAUAUUGCACAAUGGGCGGAAGCCUGAUGCAGCAACGCCGCGUGCGGGAUGACGGCCUUCGGGUUGUAAACCGCUUUCGCCUGUGACGAAGCGUGAGUGACGGUAAUGGGUAAAGAAGCACCGGCUAACUACGUGCCAGCAGCCGCGGUGAUACGUAGGGUGCGAGCGUUGUCCGGAUUUAUUGGGCGUAAAGGGCUCGUAGGUGGUUGAUCGCGUCGGAAGUGUAAUCUUGGGGCUUAACCCUGAGCGUGCUUUCGAUACGGGUUGACUUGAGGAAGGUAGGGGAGAAUGGAAUUCCUGGUGGAGCGGUGGAAUGCGCAGAUAUCAGGAGGAACACCAGUGGCGAAGGCGGUUCUCUGGGCCUUUCCUGACGCUGAGGAGCGAAAGCGUGGGGAGCGAACAGGCUUAGAUACCCUGGUAGUCCACGCUGUAAACGGUGGGUACUAGGUGUGGGGUCCAUUCCACGGGUUCCGUGCCGUAGCUAACGCUUUAAGUACCCCGCCUGGGGAGUACGGCCGCAAGGCUAAAACUCAAAGGAAUUGACGGGGCCCCGCACAAGCGGCGGAGCAUGCGGAUUAAUUCGAUGCAACGCGUAGAACCUUACCUGGGUUUGACAUGGAUCGGGAGUGCUCAGAGAUGGGUGUGCCUCUUUUGGGGUCGGUUCACAGGUGGUGCAUGGCUGUCGUCAGCUCGUGUCGUGAGAUGUUGGGUUAAGUCCCGCAACGAGCGCAACCCUUGUUCACUGUUGCCAGCACGUUAUGGUGGGGACUCAGUGGAGACCGCCGGGGUCAACUCGGAGGAAGGUGGGGAUGACGUCAAGUCAUCAUGCCCCUUAUGUCCAGGGCUUCACGCAUGCUACAAUGGCUGGUACAGAGAGUGGCGAGCCUGUGAGGGUGAGCGAAUCUCGGAAAGCCGGUCUCAGUUCGGAUUGGGGUCUGCAACUCGACCUCAUGAAGUCGGAGUCGCUAGUAAUCGCAGAUCAGCAACGCUGCGGUGAAUACGUUCCUGGG